UUUGUUUAAUGCGGAACACAUGCCUAGACAGUCAAGACUACAUAAGGAGAAUGAGACAUAAACAUAAAAUUGUACAGGGACACAGAUAGCAAUGUAAUUCUGAUUUUUUAACAGACAUCAAAUUGAAGAGUCAAAACCUCUAGUAGUAGUUGCUGUUAAAAGAAAAUCUCUUCUGGCUUCAGAAGAAAAGCUCCUCAGCACCUCCAAGUCACAGCUGACAAGAGCUCCUGCUGCUUCCAGCAUAGCACAAGUGACGUCUGUCGCUUCUGGACGUGAAACCCUCCUACCUGAGUUCUCUUAACAACACAUUCAGCCUGGAUUUCAGUCAUAUUACUAAAUGCAACAGGCGAAAAUCCUGCAGAAGCAAAAAGGUUUCUCCAUGGUGGCAUCCGAUCAGAGGAUCGGAGGCGCCCCAAGAUCAUGUUCUCAAUGCUAGGCUGGAAGAGAGACCUCUCUAUCUUUUUCCCAAUGUCUGGAGUUAUAUUAGCAGCAUCAAUACUAGCUAAGAGUGUCUCGUAAUACUGGAGAGCAUGGAUGAGGUGAUGCUUUAAGGGGAGUUCAGUACGUUCACAUCCGCGUUCCAAUGAUACAACAACUUUAGGAGAUAAUUGCUUCAUGCAGUGAAGAAGUGAAGGAAAUGCAAACGGACAGCUUGAAAUAGACCAGAUAGGGAAAUUUAUAGCAAUUGCCUCACACUCAGAUGACCUCAAGGUGGAUAAGGGAUAAGAUUUGGGGUCAAAGGAAUCCAAGUUAAUAACUUCAAGCUCAAAUCGUAUUCCCGCGUCAUUAGCAAACUGUGUUAAACUUUCAUGCAUGAUACCAAUUUCGAUUGAGUGGUGGGUUGAUGGGGAGGCAAAGGCUGUAAUCUUUAGAGAAGUUGCCUUUCUAUUGCUACUUGGGAGCUCUUGCAUAAACGAGGACCAUUGAGCACCAAAACCUAUGUCAAAAUCUAUUAUGUGAAUUUGCUCAGCAUCCCCAAGAGCUUCAAGAAUAGCCUGAUUGGAGGUGAAAUUCAUGAAUUGGAUAAGUGGAGAUAUUUCGGAAAAGGCCUUGUAAGCAUCCAUCUUAAGCACACAGUCAAAUGGGGUGGGACUUCUUGGAGGCAAAAAUGUGGAUGUGCAAGGCAAAAGGAAAGGCAACUGCAGAGCCUCCUUGAUAUAAAAAGCAGCCCUCCUUGAGGGUUUCCCAAUGGGAGAAAGCUGUUGAUUGAGCCG
rnacentral:misc_RNA from 1 species